GUGCCAGCAGCCGCGGUAAUACAGAGGGUGCGAGCGUUGUCCGGAAUCACUGGGCGUAAAGGGCGCGUAGGUGGCUCUAUAAGUCGGGGGUGAAAUGCUGCGGCUCAACCGCAGCGCUGCCUCCGAGACUGUAGGGCUCGAGCACGGUAGAGGCCGAUGGAAUUCCCGGUGUAGCGGUGGAAUGCGUAGAGAUCGGGAAGAACACCAAUGGCGAAGGCAGUCGGCUGGGCCGUUGCUGACACUGAGGCGCGACAGCGUGGGGAGCAAACAGGAUUAGAAACCCUAGUAGUCC
rnacentral:rRNA from 1 species